rnacentral:rRNA from 1 species
UAGAAACUUAAAAUUUAAAAGACUUGACGGUACUUCACACCACCCUAGAGGAGCCUGUCCAAUAACCGAUAACCCACGAUCAACCCGACCUUUUCUAGCCCCCAGUCUAUAUACCGCCGUCGCCAGCUUACCUUGUGAAAGAAGUAAAGUGAGCCCAACAGCACUGCACUAACACGACAGGUCGAGGUGUAACUUAUGAAAAGGGACAAGAUGGGCUACAUUUUCUAACCCAGAACAAACGAAUAAACUAUGAAACUAGAAACUGAAGGCGGAUUUAGCAGUAAGCCAAGAACAACAUACUCAGCCGAAACAAACGCAAUGAAGUGCGU